AGGAACCAGCAUGCACCUCCCUACAUGGACUCUGGAGGACUCGGUGUUCAGUCAGCAGACGGACGCAGAGCAGCAGACCGGAUCAUCAGAGUCUCUGGGCCUCCUGUCCUGCUGAAGAUCCUUUGAGCAAGACUCUGAACCUGAGCCAGGACGAAGGAACCUGAGAACCAUCCAGCAUGGAGGGGAGGCGGAAUCUACUCCUCAGCCUCAUCAUGGCAGCCUGUUUCUACGGCAACGCCGCUCAGAUGACAGUCUGCACUCAAGAGGCUGUAGCCGACAUCGUCUUCAUGAUCGACGGGUCGUGGAGCAUCGGCACCGAGAACUUCAAACAGAUCCGUCAGUUUCUGUACACACUGGUGGACAGCUUCGACGUCGGGCCCGAGCACGUCCACAUCGGCCUGGUCCAGUACAGCACCACGCCACGCACCGAGUUCCUGCUCAACACCUACCAGAACAAGAAGGACAUCCUCCAGUACAUCAACAGCCUGCCGUACAUGGGGGGCGGCACCCAGACGGGGCAGGGCCUGGACUUCAUGCUGACUGAGCACUUUGUGGAGGCAGCCGGAAGCCGAGGGGGUCAGAACGUUCCGCAGAUCGCCGUGGUGAUCACCGAUGGCAAAUCACAAGACAACGUGGAGUCCCACGCUCAGGACCUGAAGAGGAGGGGACUUGUUUUGUAUGCGAUCGGUAUCAAAGAGGCAGACGAAGACCAGCUGAGAGAGAUCGCCAGUGAGCCGCACAGUCAGCAUGUCUACAGCGUGUCUGACUUUGCGGCGCUGCAGGGAAUUUCUCAGAGCAUCGUCCAGACGCUUUGCACAACUGUAGAGGAAGUCAAACGACAACUCCUGCAGUUGUCUCAAGAAUGUGCCAAAGCCACCGUGGCCGACAUCGUCUUCCUGGUCGACGGCUCCACCAGCAUCGGCAUCAGUGACUUUGAGGAGGUCCGUAAGUUUCUCCGAAGCGUCAUCACAGGCCUCGACAUCGGCUCCAACAAAGUUUGGGUCGGCUUGGCUCAGUACAGUAGUGACACUCACCAGGAGUUCCUGCUGAAGGAGCACAUGGACAAGCAAUCCCUGCUGGCUGCAGUGGACACAUUUCCUUACCGAGCAGGAGGCACGGAAACCGGCAAGGCCAUCGAUUUCCUCCGGACGACGUAUUUCACAGAGGACGCGGGGAGCCGGGCCAGCCAGCGCGUGCCUCAGAUCGCCGUGGUCAUCACAGAUGGAGACUCCACGGACGAUGUGGUAGUGCCCGCCCAGAACCUGAGGAAGCAUGGAGUCAUAGUGUUUGGCAUCGGGGUGGGAGGAGCCAACAUGGAGGAGCUGAAAUCCAUCGCCAACCGGCCUAAAGAGCGCUUCCUGUCCUCCAUCGAUAGCUACCAGGCUCUGCAGAGGCUGACAGUAGGUCUGCUGCAAACGGUUUGCAUCUCUGUGGAGGAUCAGAGACAAGCCUUGGCAGAGAAGUUUGCAGACAUCUUCUUCCUGGUGGACCGCGGUUUGACAGGAGCAGAGUUCCAGCAGAUCAGGGGUAUCCUAAACAGGAUGAUCAACCAACUUAACAUGUCAGCGUCCACCUACCGGCUGGGCUUGGCCCAGUAUGGUCAAGAUGUCAAAGUGGAGUUUCUUCUCAACACUUACCAAACCAAAAACCAGACGCUGGCUGGUGUUAAGAGUGUCCGCCAGCGCAGAUUGCAAACCAACGAACCUCGUAAUCUGGGCGGCGCGCUGCAGUACGCCAGGACUCACUUCUUCACUAGUGAGGCAGGAAGCCGGGCGGACCAAGGCUACCGACAGUACCUGGUUGUUAUGAGUGGAAAAGACUCGGAUGAUCAGGUGUAUAGAGAGUCACGUCUGAUCAAAUCAUCCGGAGUAACUGUGGUAGGGAUGAGCCUCGGUGCAUCCAUGCAAGAAAUGCGUGUCAUCGCCACCGCACCGUACUCGUACCAGUCUAUAGGCAACACCGUAACUAUACUGAGGGAUAUCGUGGUAAAACAGGAAGCACAGACCGCUCUUACUGGAGAUUGCAAAGCAGCCAAUGUGGCAGACAUCGUGUUCAUCGUUGAUGAGUCGGGAAGCAUUGGAAACCCCAACUUCCAGAUGGUGCGCACUUUCCUUCACACGAUUGUGAGCGGCCUGGAUGUCAGUCCAGCUAAAGUCCGAGUGGGCAUCGUGAUGUAUAAUACCCAGGCCACGGCACAGGUCUACCUCAACACCUUCAAUGUUAAGGACGAACUGCUGGAGUUCAUCAAGAUCCUGCCGUACCACGGCGGUGGUACGAACACCGGAGCUGCCUUAACGUUCACCCUGAACAACGUUUUUACCACGCAAGGAGGAAGCCGGAAAGGCGUCCAGAAGGUGGCGGUGGUGAUCACAGACGGUGAAUCCCAGGACAACGUGAGCACGCCAGCAUAUGAACUCCGUCAGGCUGGUGUCACUGUUUACGCUGUAGGAGUCAAAGAUGCCAACGAUGCCCAGCUGGUAGAGAUGGCGUCUCACCCCCCACAUAAGCACAAAUUUGUUGUGGACAGUUUUUCCAUGCUGAAAUCAAUGGAGCAGAGCCUGCAGAAAACCCUGUGUCAUAACAUCCUCCGGCAAGCAGUCACAGUCAGUAUGAGAAGAACUGGCAUCAAAGAAGGCUGUGUACAAACGGAUGAAGCAGACAUCUUCUUCCUGAUUGAUCACUCGGGAAGCAUUUACCCCGCCGACUUCAAAGACAUGAAGAAGUUCAUCAUUGAGUUUCUUCAUACCUUCCGCAUCGGGCCACAACAUGUCCGCAUGGGGGUCGCUAAAUACGCAGAUUCACCAAAUUUAGAAUUUGAUCUGACAACCUACUCAGAUACCAAGACGUUGGAGAAAGCCAUCGAGGAUAUUAAACAAGUAGGAGGCGGGACGGAGACGGGAAGAGCGCUGGAAUUCAUGGGCCCACUUUUCGAUAAAGCAAUGGGUUCUCGUGGGCACAAAGUCCCGGAGUACCUGAUUGUCAUCACAGAUGGGAAAUCCGCCGAUGAGGUCAAGGUUCCUGCAGAAAAGCUGAGGGCGCAGGGUGUCACCGUCUACGCCAUUGGGGUGAAAAAGGCAGAUGUAGACGAGCUGGAAGAGAUUUCCGGCGACCGCAAGAGGACUUACUUCGUCAAUAAUUUUGAUGCUUUGAAGCCCAUCAAGGACGACAUCAUCACAGACAUCUGUUCUACAGACGCUUGUAAAGACAGACCAAGCGACCUCCUUUUCUUGAUUGACAGCUCUGGGAGCAUCGACCCAAAAGACUACUUGAAAAUGAAAGACUUCAUGAAAUCUGUCAUCAGUAAGUCGGUCAUCGGGGAGAACAAGGUGCACGUCGGCGUUAUGCAGUUCAGCACCAUCCAACAACUAGCGUUCCCCCUCAACCAGUACUACAGCAAGGAGGACAUCACAAAAGCCAUCAAUGUCAUGCAGCAGACUGGUGGAGGCACGCUGACGGGUGCUGCCAUCACAGACGUGUCGCAGUACUUUGAUGCAGCCGGAGGAGGGCGUCCUGGCAUGAGCCAGAGGCUGGUAGUGAUAACAGACGGCGAGGCCCAAGACCUGGUCAAAGACCCUGCCGAGGCUCUGAGGUCCAAGGGAGUGGUGAUCUACGCCAUUGGAGUGGUGAACGCAAACACCACCCAGCUGCUUGAGAUCAGCGGUUCACGGGACCGGAUGUAUGCUGAGAGGGACUUUGACGCUUUGAAGGACCUGGAGAGCGAGGUGGCCAAUGAGCUCUGUGAGCCAGAGAGAGAGUGUCAGAAGACAGAAAAAGCUGACAUCAUCUUCCUGGUGGACGGCUCCACAAGCAUAACCCUGAGCAAGUUCAGAAGCAUGACGAAGUUCAUGGCGUCAGUGGUGAACCAAACUACAGUGGGCAAGGACCUGACUCGCUUUGGGGUCAUUCUCUACUCCACUGACCCCAAAUCUGUUUUCACUUUGAAAGAGUACAGCACCAAACGGGAGGUUAUUAACGCCAUAUCAGCCCUGAAAUCUCCGUACGGAGACACCUACACCGGCAAGGCUCUGGCGUACUCUUCACAGUUCUUUAACGCCCCACACGGCGGUCGGGCCGACCUCCAGGUGCCACAGAUUCUCAUGGUGAUCACAGACGGUGACGCUACCGAUCGAAAUAGUCUGGUGGCACCAUCCGUGGCACUGCGAGACCAAGGCGUCACCGUCUUCAGUAUCGGCGUCGAAGGAGCCAACAGGACGCAGCUGGAGAUCAUGGCUGGUCACCAAACUUCCAGAGUUUUCUAUGUGGAUAAUUUUGAUGCCCUGGAAACUCUGUACAAGAACAUCACUGAUGUUCUCUGCAAAGACACCAAGCCAGUUUGUGAGAAGCAGAAGUCUGACCUGGUCUUCCUGAUCGAUCAGUCCGGUAGCAUCCACCCUCAGGACUACACCACCAUGAAGAAGUUCACCACAGAACUCGUGAAAAGCUUCAAAGUCAGUGAAGAUUUAGUGCGUGUAGGACUGGCCCAGUUCAGCAACACUUUCCAGGAUGAGUUUGACCUGAACCAGUUCUACAGCGAGCAAGAGGUGACCAAGCACAUCUUGGAUAUGCAGCAGCGUGGUGGAGGCACCAACAUCGGAAGUGCCCUGGAUUCCAUCAGGAAUUAUUUUGAGGCGUCGCGGGGCAGCCGAAGAUCUGCCGGAGUCUCCCAGAACCUGGUGCUGAUCACUGACGGUGAGUCGCAGGAUGACGUGGAGGACGCCGCCGACCGUCUCAGGGCUCUAGGGAUUGAGAUAUUUGCCAUCGGCAUUGGAGACGUCCACGAUCUGCAGCUCCUGCAGAUCACCGGCACCCCGGAGAGGCUGUUCACUGUGCAGAACUUCGGCAGCUUGGAGAAGAUCAAGCAAAAAGUGGUCGACACAAUCUGCAAAUCUAAACCUAUCAGAGAUCCCAGUGCCUGCAGCAUCGAUAUCGCCAUAGGAUUCGAUAUUUCUCAAAGAAGCGGAGCUCCUGGUGAGAUGCUGAUGAGCGGCCACCCCAAGCUUAAGACCUUCCUGCCACAGAUCGCCCGCUACGUUUCUUCGGUACAAGGCCUUUGCUGUGUCGGUCCUGCACCCAUCAGGACCAACAUCGCCUACCGAGUGGUCGAUCCGGAUGGAAAUUCCCUGCACGACUUCGGCUUUGAGGGCUUCAGCGACGACGUGGUUAACAAAGUCAUGGCCUUGACUUUGAGAGAGCCCACUUCUUUCAACACCGCCAUGCUGAAAUCAUUCGGGCAGAAGUUCAGUAAAGAGUCCGGAGCUGGCGUGAAGGUGCUGGUGAUCUUCUCAGAUGGACUCGAUGAGGACGUGAUGAAACUGGAGCAUGAAUCAGAGCUGCUGCGACAGUCUGGGAUCAGCGCUCUGCUUAUGGUGGCUCUGGAGGGGGUGCAUGACCCCGCCCAGCUGCAGAUGGUGGAGUUUGGUCGAGGAUUCGGCUACAAGCUUCCUCUCAGCAUCGGCAUGCAGAGCAUCGGCAGCACCAUCCUCAAACAGAUUGAUUCGGUGUCAGACAGGGAGUGCUGCAACGUCAUGUGCAAAUGUUCAGGACAUGAAGGCACCCGUGGCUCUCGAGGCCCAUCGGGGUUAAAGGGCGUCUCUGGACAGAAGGGCUACCCCGGCUUCCCCGGAGAGGAGGGUGGCGCUGGGAAUCGAGGAAGUUCUGGACCCGGUGGACCUCAGGGCGUCCAGGGUUGUUCUGGACUCAGAGGACCGAAGGGCUACCGAGGCGUCCGGGGGAACAGGGGUGAAGGAGGAGAAGACGGACUGGACGGAGUUGACGGAGAACUGGGACUGACGGGAAACGGUGGAGGUCGAGGAGAAAGAGGAAACCCAGGAAGCCCAGGUAUCCCAGGUAUCAGAGGGGAGGCUGGGCUUAACGGAGAACGAGGACUGAGAGGAGAUCCGGGUGAACCAGGAGCUGAUAACACCAGCCCAGGAGCCAAAGGAGAGCCGGGGAACCAAGGUCUGCCGGGAACACCUGGACCGGACGGGCCGCAGAGUGAGAGUGGAAUCGUUGGAAACCCGGGACCAGAUGGAAGAAGAGGACCGCUGGGUGAGAAGGGAGCACCUGGACAGCCAGGAGGUCCAGGAGUCCAGGGCAGCCCCGGUGCUUCAGGUCCACAGGGUCCCAGAGGGAUCAGAGGUCAACCUGGGCCGAGAGGAGUGGCUGGCCUUCCUGGACCUCAGGGAGGACCGGGACUAGCUGGAAACCAGGGAUCAGGUGGACGGCGUGGAGCUAACGGACAGAAGGGCCAACCAGGAGAUCCAGGUCAAAAAGGUGUUCCAGGAUCUUUAGGAGUCAGAGGGAUGCCGGGUCAGGAUGGUAGAGACGGUCAUGGACCUGAAGGAUCUAAAGGAGUGAAGGGAGAUUCUGGUUUUCCUGGGUACCCCGGUCUACUGGGCGAGGACGGCCAGCAGGGAACUAAAGGAUAUCCAGGACGUAAAGGGAACCGAGGUCGAGGCGGGAACUCUGGCCGGUCGGGAGAGUCUGGCGUCUCUGGAGAACCGGGAUAUCCAGGACACAAGGGUCCCAAAGGUCCUCCUGGAGGCAAAGGCAUGACUGAGUGUCAGCUGAUCACCUACAUCAGAGACAACUGUGCGUGUUCGCUCGAUCAGUCCAGGUGCCCGGCCUACCCCACUGAGCUGGUGUUUGGUCUGGACAUGUCGGAGGACGUGAGAACGGAGGACUUCGAGAGGCAGCGCUCCGCCCUCCUCACCCUGCUGAAGGACAUCACCAUCUCUGAGAGCAACUGUCCGUCGGGCGCUCGCGUGGCGGUGGUGGGUUACAGCGCCUACACCAAGUACCUGAUCCGCUUCCAGGACUACCGCCGCAAGGCACAGCUAAUCGAGUCUGUGAAGAACAUCGCUCUGGAGAGGACGUCCAACCGCCGCAAGCUUGGGGCCGCCAUGCGCUUCGUGGGUCAGAACGUCUUCAAGCGAAUCCGAUCGGGAUUGAUGAUGAGGAAGGUAGCGGUCUUCCUCUCUAACGGGCAAUCAGAUGAUGUAAGCGACAUCCUCACCGCCGUGAUGGAGUACCGCGGCCUCAACAUCGUCCCGGCGGUCAUCUCGCUGAAGAACGCUCCUAAUAUUAGUCGAGCGUUGGAGGUGGACGACUCAGGACACUCCAUUUUCACAGUGCUGAGGGGGGAAAUGAUUACCGACCUGAAGAAGGUCCAGAACUGUGCCAUCUGCUACGACCCCUGCAGACGUUCGGAUCAGUGCGCCUUCAUCCAGGACCCGGAGCAGCCUCAGGAGGUUGACGUUGACCUGGUCAUGGUGGUGGACAGCUCCAGGGAGAUGCAGGCUGACGAGUUCGCCGGCGUCCAGCAGCUGCUGGGCUCUGUGGUGGAACAGCUGGCGGUGAGCCCACAGCCCCGCAGGGCCGGCAACCAGGCCCGGGUGGCCCUAGUCCAGCAGAGCGGCACCCAGGUCACCAAGGCAGAUUUUGGCCUCGGGACCUACCAGACCAGCAACCUGAUGAGGAGGCACCUGACCCGGAACAUGACGCUGCAGGGCGGCUCGUCGGCGCUGGGACAGACGCUGGAGUUCACCCUGAAGGAGAUUCUCCUGAAGGCGAGCCAGCCCCGUAAGAAGAGGGCGCUGCUGGCCGUGGUGGGCACCCAGACGGCUUACGAGGACCGAGCCAAGCUGCGCUACAUCUCCCAGAAGGCCAAGUGUGAGGGGGUGGCGCUGUUUGUCGUGACGGUCGGCGAGCGCUAUGACCGGACGCAGGUGGAGGAGCUGGCCAGUCUGCCCAUCCAGCAGCACCUGAUCCACAUGGGCCGACUGAAAGCCGACGAGCAGGGCUACGCCCAGCGCUUCUUCAGAGUCUUCCUCUCCGCCCUCGCCAAGGGAAUGAACAAGUAUCCUCCUCAAUCAUUAAAACGGACCUGCAGCCAGCUGGUACAAAAAGAUGCCCCAAAAAUAGUCGUAAACAGUCAGGGGACGACAGUGGUGGACGAGGACGUAUUCAGGGAGGAAGAGGAUGAGAGGUUUCAGGAGCAGAGGGGAGGACAGACUCAGACAGGCCAGCUGGACAUCAUCAACACUCUGACCAGAGGCGACGGCCAGAGAUUCAUCUCACUGACCAACGGUAGCCCACACACACUCAAACAAGAUCCAAACAUCCUGCCGACGCCGGAGCUGGCCAGCUUCACCUCCAAAGACAGCUGCUUCCUCAGCCAAGACCAGGGAAGCUGCCAGAACUACACCAUGAUGUGGUUCUUCGACACCGAACAGACGGAAUGUUCUCGCUUCUGGUUCGGCGGCUGUGGUGGCAACGAAAACCGCUUCAAUACGCAAGACGAGUGUGAGGACCUCUGUCUGACGAAGAGUCGAUGAGGAGGAUGUCUCCGGAUCGGAUGGAGAAAAAUCACUGCUGUACACCAAACAUGUUUCAGCAAAACCUUAAAAAAUACGCACGCAUGUUCAAGGAAAAAAAACCAAAGCGACUUUCUGAAUGAUUUAAAACCCUUUAGUCACUUAAACUGCUAAAGACCAACAGAGAAAGUUUAGUCACAAGGUAGGUAGCUCUGGGACACUAAAACUGCUAAACACCAACAGAGAAAGUUUGGUCAUAGCGGAGGUUGUUCUGGGACACUAAAACUGCUAAACACCAACAAGGAAACAUUAGUCAUAAUGGAGGUUGUUCUAGGACACUAAAACUGCUAAACACCAACAACGAAAGUUUAGUCACAGCGGAGGUUGUUCUGGGACACUUAAACUGUUGUCUUUGGGUUUUCCUCUUGAACAUGUAUGUUUCGUUCCUUUAGAGCUCUUAUAUUUUUUUUACAAUAGAAAACUGUUGAAUUGUUGGACGUUGAUUAAACAUGACAGACGCUCAUCGGAGACUGUUAAACUUUACAGGUCACUUCUUGUUUUUCUUCACAUCAGGUGCUAUUUUUAUGAAGCUGGUGGAGACUGAUGUAUACAUGUUUGUUGAGACUCAAAAUUAAUGUUUGAAGGAUUACAAAUAUUAAAGUGUGUUUAGUUCUUCCAUAAUCGAUCAGAAAUCAAAUGUUUGAUUUGACUCUCAUGGGGUUUGAACUCUGCAGGCAAAGAUGGUCAAUUCAUUUUAAAGGCGUUCAAUUGCAAAAUCGUAUUAUCUUGUAAUCUAAGGAUUUCAAUUUUCUCUAAUUCUUGAAGUUUUUAUGAUGUAAGAUAUGAAACUGAUACUUCAUGAUCAUCAGCUACAGUAUUUAAAAAUAACUUUUUAGAUUUCCGCAAACAUCUUUGUCUUCCUUUCAGAGUUGUGCUCAUCUUUAUGUUUCACUCAGCGCUGGUUGAUAACGUUACCGUUAUCACGAUUAUACAUUGAUGUUUCUUGCACUUCCACAUUUAAAUAAACAGAGUACUACUUCCUCUUCCA